rnacentral:lncRNA from 1 species
AGGCAAGCAAGUUUUUAUUAACCUGCUGGGCUGCUCCACUGUAAACAGAGGAGGCAGCCCCGCUUACAGGCUGCUGUGGGGUUUUAUAGGGCAAGGGGUUAGGUUGGGGUGGCGGAAACUGAGUAGUGUUGCAGGUGUUGCAACUGUUUCGUGGAAAUGUUUUUGUCUGCUCGGCUAGGCAAGGUGGACAGAUGUCUUAACCGCAUCCUGGAACUAUUUAACAGUUCUACUGAAAGUCUUGCACAAGCAGCUGUAGAAAAGGGUUGGGGGUGCUUGUAGGUGGUCACAAAGGACUGUAUUGAGAAGGUCAUGGAGGAGGAGGAGGGGUAGCUUGGAUCUCUAACAAGAGCUUCUUCAUCUAAUGUUUACUAUACCAUUUUCUUAUUUGUAAAAGGAAGAUUUGGAGGAUCAUCUGAAUACCCAUCCAACAGAGAUCCAUGAUUCAUGUAUUUCUCAAGACAGCCAUACACUUACAAGAUUAGAUCAUCAUUAACAGUCAGGUAGUGAGAGAUCUAGUCCCAAAUCCACAUUUUUCCAGCUGCAUCCUUG